AGUGAACGCUGGCGGUAGGCCUAACACAUGCAAGUCGAACGGCAGCACAGUAAGAGCUUGCUCUUACGGGUGGCGAGUGGCGGACAGGUGAGGAAUACAUCGGAAUCUACUUUUUCGUGGGGGAUAACGUAGGGAAACUUACGCUAAUACCGCAUACGACCUACGGGUGAAAGCAGGGGAUCUUCGGACCUUGCGCGAUUGAAUGAGCCGAUGUCGGAUUCGCUAGUUGGCGGGGUAAAGGCCCACCAAGGCGACGAUCCGUAGCUGGUCUGAGAGGAUGAUCAGACACACUGGAACUGAGACACGGUCCAGACUCCUACGGGAGGCAGCAGUGGGGAAUAUUGGACAAUGGGCGCAAGCCUGAUCCAGCCAUACCGCGUGGGUGAAGAAGGACUUCGGGUUGUAAAGCCCUUUUGUUGGGAAAGAAAAGCAGCAGGUUAAUACCCCGCUGUUCUGACGGUACCCAAAGAAUAAGCACCGGCUAACUUCGUG
rnacentral:rRNA from 1 species